UAGGAUUAUUUUGUUUACAAUUGAAGUCAUUCCGCUGUUAGAUUAAAUUAGAGCUGAACAAAUAAGUGAAAGUCCACUUGUUCAUUUUAGAUCUAGUUUUUUUUUUUAUAUUUAAUGUGAUGUUCUUUGCCAUACAUGCUUUUUAAGUUUUUGUUUGCUAUAGAUAUGAUCACAAGGCAGACCAGCCCCCUCCUUUGACAUGUCCCAUAGACUUUUUUGAUGGAAAGGAUGAUGUAGAUCACGAUAUAGAAGCUUGGAAACAGGUCACUUCUGGAACAUUUCGAUUUGAACAUAUGCCAGGUGGACAUUUUUUUCUCAAGGACCCUGAAAAUAUGAAAAAAUUGUGGACCUUCAUUGAUUUAAGAUACAGUCAAUAUAUGCUUUAGAAAUGAUUUAAUUUCUUGAAAUGGUGCAAUUAUUGUUACAUUUUAUGUUAAAGAUGACAGGAUAUGUACAACCAGUAUAAUUACAACAAUGUGGUAAAUAUAAACUAGAAUUGAAACUGAACAUUUAUUUGAAUAGCAUCAUAUUGGUAUGGCACAAACAAGUAAAACAGAAAGAACUUCUACAAAAUUUUGGCUCUGAUAUGUGAUGCUCAAAGAGUUUCUAUGUGUGGAUGGUGUCAGAUGUUAUGCUUUUAGGUUGCUCAAAGUCACUGCCAGUACAUUGGCAUCAAUGUGUUGACUAGCUAAGCAUUACUGCUAAUAUUUAUAUUAUUUACAAUAGAUUGUAAUCAUAAUGUAGACUGUUAUCAUAGUCAAAAAUUUUCAAAAGGAAAGAACAUUUAUCAAGAUGAUUAUAUUUGUGAGUGGCAUUAUUCUACAUAUUAUAACUGUUUUAAACAUUAACAUUUUAUAAAGAAAUACAAAAAUUUAAAAACAA
rnacentral:sRNA from 1 species